CAAUGUUUGACUGCUGUUUCGUAGAGAGAAGAUGCCUUAGUUUCAAAUAGCUUUUAGUUACAGUUGAAAGUGAAAACUGGUUUAGCCAAUUUUUGUCCCUUCCCAAUUUCUGUGUUGGAUCAUCUGUGAAAAUCCAUUCUUAUGAAAAAUGUCAAGAAUUAUUUCUGUUAUGAAUAUUACGUUUGGAGUAUCUUGAGAUGAAAUUAAAGAAAAACAAAUUCUCAAAUUUGAGCCAGCAUUGCUACAUUCUUCAAUCUCUUGCUAUGGGAAACUGUUUUAGGUUGUGUGUUUCAUCUCCUGAGGAUGAUACCCUUCUCCCAGAGCAGGACCAAGAUUCAUCUUCAUCGCCUCCAACUCCUAUAGAGGAUCGACCUGUAGAACCUGUAUUUUUCGUAUCUCCUAACAUAGGCCGUCCUAUUUCACAACUUACUGAAGAUGAGCAAAUUAAAAUAGCAAAACGAAUAGGAUUUAUUCAACAACUGCCUACUAGGAUAUUUGAUG